rnacentral:rRNA from 1 species
CCUACGGGAGGCAGCAGUAAGGAAUAUUGGACAAUGCCCGCAAGGGUGAUCCAGCCAUGCCGCGUGCAGGAAGAAGGCCCUAUGGGUCGUAAACUGCUUUUACACCGGAGAAAACCUCCCUUCGUGAAGGGAGCUGAUAGUAUGGUGAGAAUAAGCAUCGGCUAACUUCGUGCCAGCAGCCGCGGUAAGACGAAGGAUGCAAGCGUUAUCCGGAUUCAUUGGGUUUAAAGGGAGCGUAGGUGGACUGAUAAGUCAGUGGUGAAAUCUUCGAGCUUAACUCGGAAAUUGCCAUUGAUACUGUUAGUCUUGAGUACAGUUGCUGUGGGCGGAAUAUGACAUGUAGUGGUGAAAUACAUAGAGAUGUCAUAGAACACCGAUUGCGAAGGCAGCUCACAAAGCUGUAACUGACACUGAGGCUCGAAAGUGCGGGGAUCAAACAGGAUUAGAUACCCUGGUAGUCCGCACCGUAAACGAUGAUUACUCGCUGCGUAGAGGGACGUAACGUUUUAGUUGGUCGUUAGACGGAACGGACGAAGUAAAGUUAAACGUUACCGUUACCGGUUACGGGGUACGGGUUACCGGGUUCCGGGCCGGAACCGGUUACGGAACCGUACGAAACGGGUUAAGUUAGGUUACGGCGUUGGAGGACGCGCCGGACGGACCGACCGACGGAGGGGAGGUAGG